rnacentral:rRNA from 1 species
CAGCAGCCGCGGGAAUACAGAGGGUGCGAGCGUUAAUCGGAUUUACUGGGCGUAAAGCGUGCGUAGGCGGCUUUUUAAGUCGGAUGUGAAAUCCCUGAGCUUAACUUAGGAAUUGCAUUUGAUACUGGGAAGCUAGAGUAUGGGAGAGGAUGGUAGAAUUCCAGGUGUAGCGGUGAAAUGCGUAGAGAUCUGGAGGAAUACCGAUGGCGAAGGCAGCCAUCUGGCCUAAUACUGACGCUGAGGUACGAAAGCAUGGGGAGCAAACAGGAUUAGAUACCCCAGUAGUCCCUGUCUCUUAUAC